rnacentral:rRNA from 1 species
AUUGAACGCUGGCGGCAGGCCUAACACAUGCAAGUCGAGCGGUAACACAGGGAGCUUGCUCCUGGGUGACGAGCGGCGGACGGGUGAGUAAUGUCUGGGAAACUGCCUGAUGGAGGGGGAUAACUACUGGAAACGGUAGCUAAUACCGCAUAACGUCGCAAGACCAAAGAGGGGGACCUUCGGGCCUCUUGCCAGCAGAUGUGCCCAGAUGGGAUUAGCUAGUAGGUGGGGUAACGGCUCACCUAGGCGACGAUCCCUAGCUGGUCUGAGGGGAUGACCAGCCACACUGGAACUGAGACACGGUCCAGACUCCUACGGGAGGCAGCAGUGGGGAAUAUUGCACAAUGGGCGCAAGCCUGAUGCAGCCAUGCCGCGUGUAUGAAGAAGGCCUUCGGGUUGUAAAGUACUUUCAGCGGGGAGGAAGGCGAUAAGGUUAAUAACCUUGUCGAUUGACGUUACCCGCAGAAGAAGCACCGGCUAACUCCGUGCCAGCCGCCGCCGUAA